rnacentral:rRNA from 1 species
UUAUUAUGAGAGUUUGAUCCUGGCUCAGGACGAACGCUGGCGGCGUGCCUAAUACAUGCAAGUCGAACGCUUCUUUCCUCCCGAGUGCUUGCACUCAAUUGGAAAGAGGAGUGGCGGACGGGUGAGUAACACGUGGGUAACCUACCCAUCAGAGGGGGAUAACACUUGGAAACAGGUGCUAAUACCGCAUAACAGUUUAUGCCGCAUGGCAUAAGAGUGAAAGGCGCUUUCGGGUGUCGCUGAUGGAUGGACCCGCGGUGCAUUAGCUAGUUGGUGAGGUAACGGCUCACCAAGGCCACGAUGCAUAGCCGACCUGAGAGGGUGAUCGGCCACACUGGGACUGAGACACGGCCCAGACUCCUACGGGAGGCAGCAGUAGGGAAUCUUCGGCAAUGGACGAAAGUCUGACCGAGCAACGCCGCGUGAGUGAAGAAGGUUUUCGGAUCGUAAAACUCUGUUGUUAGAGAAGAACA